GAGUAACGCGUGAGGAACCUGCCUUGGAGUGGGGAAUAACGGUUGGAAACAGCCGCUAAUACCGCAUGAUGCAGUUAUCCCGCAUGGGAUUGACUGCCAAAGAUUUAUCGCUCUGAGAUGGCCUCGCGUCUGAUUAGGUAGUUGGCGGGGUAACGGCCCACCAAGCCGACGAUCAGUAGCCGGACUGAGAGGUUGGCCGGCCACAUUGGGACUGAGACACGGCCCAGACUCCUACGGGAGGCAGCAGUGGGGAAUAUUGGGCAAUGGGCGCAAGCCUGACCCAGCAACGCCGCGUGAAGGAAGAAGGCUUUCGGGUUGUAAACUUCUUUUCUUAGGGACGAAGAAAGUGACGGUACCUAAGGAAUAAGCCACGGCUAACUACGUG
rnacentral:rRNA from 1 species